GACGAACCGUCCUACCGUUGUUCGGAAUCACUGGGCUUAAAGGGCGCGUAGGCGGCCUUGAAAGUCGGGGGUGAAAUCCCACGGCCUAACCGUGGAAGUGCCUCCGAUACUGCAAGGCUCGAGGGAGGUAGGGGCAGCUGGAACUUCCGGUGGAGCGGUGAAAUGCGUUGAUAUCGGAAGGAACGCCGGUGGCGAAAGCGAGCUGCUGGACCUCUGCUGACGCUGAGGCGCGAAAGCCAGGGGAGCAAACGGG
rnacentral:rRNA from 1 species